UACGGAGGGUGCGAGCGUUGUCCGGAAUCACUGGGCGUAAAGGGCGCGUAGGCGGCGCGGGUAGUCAUCGGUGAAAGUUCAGGGCUCAACUCUGAAUCGGCCGGUGAUACUCCCGUGCUCGAGCACUGUAGAGGCAGGUGGAAUUCCGGGUGUAGCGGUGGGAAUGCGUAGAGAUCCGGAAGAACACCGGUGGCGAAGGCGGCCUUCUGGGACCAGCACUCGACACUCAAGCACGAAAGCGUGGGGAAGC
rnacentral:rRNA from 1 species